GUAACUACUCAGGAUUAAUGUCAGAAGUUGAGUUUUUGUUGGUGACACUGACAAGCUUUGUUUCCCUCCCUGUGCUCCACACGGGCUCUGGUCCUCUAACACAAUCUUCCUGGGUCCCGUGCUCUGCAGGGCCAGGUCAGAUGAUUUCCUGAGCAGUGCGUAUGUCCUGUGAUGUCCUGUGUUGCUGGAAUGGAGUGGAUUCUUCUCUCUCAGUGAGGAAUAGCUUUCUGAUUGUGAUCUCAGUGGAAGUCACGUGCUGUACCCACCACUGGGCAGACCUUGCUGGCCACGGCCUCCACGUGCAGUGACCGUUCUCUUGGCAGCGUCUCAGGCUGUCUGGACCAGCUGUCACAGUCUCGCUGUGGGUUUUGCCUGGCAUUCUGCAGAAGCAUUGCUGUAUCUUACCAGACAGGAAUACAGAUGAAGACCCCCAGGCCCAGGGAAUUCGAUCACUGGCUGAGAACUCACAGCUAAGGAGGGGGAGCCUGGGAUUCCUUCCUGGUGCUCACACCCGAGACCCUUUUGUCACUGUGUUCAAAGGCACUGCUGCACAGACGUGAUUCUUCUUUCAACGAACAUCUCCAGGACUUCCUCCGGGGUCUGUGACCUCAUCUAUAAUUAAAGGGAAAGAGAUCUUCCUGAGAUUAGCCCAUUUAACUUGUUUAACUAGAUGCAUGCUGCAAAAACUGUUUUCAAGAAAUGAACAAUUGACUAUUUAAAAAGAGCCAAGCCUUAAAAGAAGACCAGGUUUUAAUAGGGAAAACAUUCAGUAAAAUAUUAUUCUGCAGUAACUUGUGGAAUGACUGCUGUACACACAGCUCUGGGCUGGGUACCUGGAAGCUCACGAGCUUGUUUGGCCUCCCCUCCUGGACACAGGAGGUGUCAAGGCUGUGGUCAGCAGAAUCUACCCAGCUGGACACUGAGUGGACGCCCUGUGGGGUGGCUGUGAAAUGGGUCCACUUUGUAGUGGCAGCAUCCCUGAUAGUACUUCUGAAAGGGACAAGAUAGAAAAGCAAACCAAACUGAAACUGAGAAGUCGUGGAUGAUACCAGGGGCGCACAGUGGCUGACAGGAAGAGACUGCCUGGGGGGUCUCGGAGCCAGUGGCUGGAGUGGAGUUAGUUUGACCGAGUCCUGGACUAGGGAGGGGACCCCCAAAGCAUGCCCAGCAUGGCGCUAGUGGGGCCCAGGCACCCCAUGUCCCAACGACUAGAACCAAUAAUCAGGUUAACACUCAUUAAAUAAGAAGUGUCUGUGCCUCCUGGGAUAAAAAUCCUUUAUAACGAUCUGGGACGCGAGCUCAAGUCCCUGUUCCCUUGUCCUCCACAGCAGUGUGCAGCGUGGAACUCGGCGGUUCGGGGUCCCUGAGUCCCUGAGCCACUGUCUACCCCCUGCUCCAUCCCAAAUGCAGAGACCCCUGAGCACUCAUGUGGACAUGCCCCACCAUGCCCUGGCUGCUCCUUCAGGAUGGCGCAGGGCCACCGCUAUGGGAGGACUCUAAAGGGUGGGUCUCAAGCCCUCCUCUGCUUACCCUAAAUCAGGAGAGCAAACCGAAUGCACUGCCCUCUUCCUUCACUCCUGCAUCCCAUCCCCCGCUAUGGCCUCACUAUCAGGUGGGCAUCUGUGCUCCUAGUUUUCAUGGGUGGCCCGACGGGGGCUGCAGAAAGUUCAUGCAUCGCAUCACCCAUCAGUGUAAGGUGCAGUGAUCCUGCCACAUGUGUCUUUGUCACAGGUCACUAGAUUAAAGGCUAAUAUAUCCAUGGGUGGAUGGAAUAUUUAUUUGGCCAAAUUGUUGUCUAACAAUCCAUUGGUUUUGGUUAUCUAUUGCUGAAUAAUAAGCCAUCUCAACAUUUAGUAAGCAGUGAGCAUUGGUUGAAGCCACUGUUCCUGAUGGCCAAGGUUGCCCAGGCUCAGCUGGGCGGCUCUUCUGCUCUGUGAUGUGAGCUGGGGCUGAGCAUCUGGAGAUUUGACUGGGCAGUCAGGCACUCACUCACACAGGGCAGGUGGGGCUGGCUGUCAGCUUGUAGCUCAUCUAGGGCUGUUGUCUGAGCGCCUGGAUUCUCUCUCAUGAGACCUGUCCAGCACCUUGGUCCCCCCAUAC
rnacentral:lncRNA from 10 species